rnacentral:rRNA from 1 species
GACGAACGCUGGCGGCGCGCUUAACACAUGCAAGUCGAACGGAAAGGCCUGCUUUCCCUUGUGGAUUGCGGGUACUCGAGUGGCGAACGGGUGAGUAACACGUGAGUGAUCUGCCCCCAACUUGGGUAUAAGCCUGGGAAACUGGGUCUAAUUCCCGAUAGGACUGCAGGGUGGUGCCUGUGGUGGAACACGAUUUUCUAGUGGUUGGGGUUGGGCUGGCGGCCUUUCAGCUUGUUGGUGGGGUAAUGGCCUACCAAGGCGGCGAGGGGUAGCCGGCCGGAGAGGGUGGACGGCCACAUUGGGACUGGGAUACGGCCCCGACUCCUACGGGAGGCAGCAGUGGGGAAUAUUGCACAAUGGGCGGAAGCCUGCUGCAGCGACGCCGUGUGGGGGAUGACGGGCUUCGGGUUGUAAACUCCUUUGGACCGAGAGGAAGCCACCUGGUUGGAAGGGUGGUGACGGUAGUGGUAGAAGAAGCACCGGCUAACUACGUG